rnacentral:rRNA from 1 species
CCCUUAGAUGUCCUGGGCCGCACGCGCGUUACACUGAUGCAUUCAACGAGCAUAUAACCUUGGCCGAGAGGCCUGGGUAAUCUUGUUAACAUGCAUCGUGAUAGGGAUGGAUUAUUGCAAUUAUUAAUCUUGAACGAGGAAUUCCUAGUAAUCGCAGUUCAUCAAACUGCAAUGAUUACGUCCCUGCCCUUUGUACACACCGCCCGUCGCACCUACCGAUUGAAUGGUCCGGUGAGGACUCGGGAUUGUGGUUUAGCUCCUUCAUUGGGGCCUGACUGCGAGAACUUGUCCGAACCUUAUCAUUUAGAGGAAGGUGAAGUCGUAACA